rnacentral:rRNA from 1 species
UACAGAGGGUGCGAGCGUUGUCCGGAAUCACUGGGCGUAAAGGGCGCGUAGGCGGCUUGGUAAGCGUGCGGUGAAAGCUCGAGGCUCAACCUCGAGUCUGCCGUGCGAACUGCCGAGCUGGAGCACGGUAGAGGCACAUGGAAUUCCGGGUGUAGCGGUGAAAUGCGUAGAUAUCUGGAGGAACACCGGUGGCGAAGGCGGCAUCCUGGACCGGUAUUGACGCUGAGGCGCGAAAAGCCAGGGGGAGCAAACGGGG